rnacentral:tRNA from 1 species
CCCUCUGUAGCUCAGCGGAAGAGCACCGACCUUCUAAGUCAGGAUGCCGCUGGUUCGAACCCAGCCAGAGGGA